rnacentral:rRNA from 1 species
GACGAACGCUGGCGGCGCGCUUAACACAUGCAAGUCGAACGGAAAGGCCUGCUUUCCCUUGUGGAUUGCGGGUACUCGAGUGGCGAACGGGUGAGUAACACGUGAGUGAUCUGCCCCCAACUUGGGUAUAAGCCUGGGAAACUGGGUCUAAUUCCCGAUAGGACUGCAGGGUGGUGCCUGUGGUGGAAAACGAUUUUCUAGUGGUUGGGGAUGAGCUCGCGGCCUAUCAGCUUGUUGGUGGGGUAAUGGCCUACCAAGGCGGCGACGGGUAGCCGGCCUGAGAGGGUGGACGGCAACAGUGGGACUGAGAUACGGCCCAGACUCCUACGGGAGGCAGCAGUGGGGAAUAUUGCACAAUGGGCGGAAGCCUGAUGCAGCGACGCCGCGUGGGGGAUGACGGCCUUCGGGUUGUAAACUCCUUUCGACCGCGAGGAAGCCACCUGGUUGGAAGGGUGGUGACGGUAGUGGUAGAAGAAGCACCGGCUAACUACGUG